CACACACGCAAGACUUGGAAGGACAGUAAAUUAUUCUCAUCAUGUCAGUGGUCACUCAGCAACCGGGACAUACCCCCUCUGGAGCUAUGAUUACAACAGGAGAGUGGAGCAGUAAUAUGUGUGACUGUUUUGAGGACUGUGGCAUCUGUCUUUUUGGUUUAUGCUUCCCAUCAUGCCUAGGAUGUUAUGUGGCCAACAAAUAUGGAGAAAACUGCCUUCUGCCCUUUGCUCCAGGUGGAAUUACAGCAUUACGCACGCAUAUGCGCCUUUCUUAUAAUAUAAGUGGAACUGUAUGUAAUGAUGCCCUUAUGAUGUGUUUCUGUGGCUGGUGUGAAAUCUGCAGGAUGGCAAGGGAAGUGAGACGUCACUGUCAUUAAAGGUUUCAAGAGCAGCAUUGAAUGACUUAACGGGCGCAAUAAAAAAUGUAUUAUGCAAAAUUUAUUUUGUGUUUUUUUUUAAUAAACAAUUUUGAAAGUGCAAA